rnacentral:lncRNA from 1 species
AGGUGAAUCUGAGAUUUUAAGUACUCUGGCUGUAGUCUGUGCUCUCAACUACUUUACUAUACUGCCUCUCUAUCAGAUCUUGGAGGCAAGAUCCAUCUUCUUAAUCCGGACAGAGGCAUUGACAUCAUCUCUCUGCUCCUUCUCUUAACCAAUGAUUACGUUGUGCUAACGGCCACAUGAAUGAGACCAUCCUAGGUUAUUGGAUAGCCAUGGACUGAAUGGGUAACCUCAGAACAAUUAAGUUUUUGCCUCUACACACUGCACUUACACUUUGUAUGGCCCACUGUCUCACCUCUUUAAUCUGUAUUUACGUAAUUUACUAACCUGAGGCCACCAAUACACUCUUAGUAGCCUUGCUGGUGUUUGUCCAACCACAUCCUGAAAAAUUUUCUCUAUUUUACUUUAGAUACUGUAGGUACUCUCAGAAAGCAGUGGAACCUAUACAGCAUCUAGGGUCAUUAAGAAAUGAAUUGUAUAGGCCAGUUCCUCUCAAGGAUAUUAGAUGAGAUUAUCUGGUACAAUACUGAAGGUGGAUGGGAGAAAGUGGUGCGUGUCUUUAUUGAGGGCACAGAACCUUGAGAACAUUGCAGGUCCUUGCUGUGGACCUCAGUCAGUUGAGUCCCCCAUCAAUGCCAGUCUGAAUUUCAGGGAGUGGGAGGGUACAGCUGGGUCCGGAGAGAUGGGCAGACUUCCCCCCGCUUUCAUUCAUCCUGAUGUACUUAGGUCAGAGUGGCCAGGGAAUCCUGAAUUGAACAUCGUGGUCUCCUACACAUAGACUGGGAGCCUCCUCACUCUUCCUGAUUGUCCUGCAAGACAAUGUCUGUUUUAUUCAAAGAUCUGUAUACAUCUCCAGAAUGGGGAAUUAAGGUGGGAUUUUCAUGAAUUUAGAUUUUUAUUGGGAUAUAAUUUUCCUGCAGUGAAGUGCAGAUAUUCUAAGUGUGCAAGUUAUUCAAUUUUGACAAAUGCAUACACCUGUGUAACAUACACCUAUGACAGAUGCACUCUCCCUUAUCAAUACAUUGAACAUUCAGAUUCCUUUCCCAGACAAUCCUCAGCCCUUCCCCAUAGAAUGCAACCUGUGAUUUCUUUCAUCUUAGAUUAGUUUUGCCUGUUGUAGAACUUCAUCUAAAUGAAAUUAUAUAUGGGUUCUUUCAUUCACCAUAAUUUUUUUUUAAGAUUAUAACUCACGUUGUUGCAUAUAUCAGUCAUUUGCCCAUCUCAUUGCUGAGUAGUAUUCCAUUGUGUGACUGCACCACAGCUGGUUGAUAGACACAGGGAUUAUUUCCAGCAUUUAGCUCUAUAAACCAAGCUGCUAUAAACAACCCUGUACAAGACCUUUGUGGACAUAUAUUUUCAUUUCUCUGAGUCAUAUACAGCAGUUGUUUUUGAAGGGUAAAUAGGAGUUGUAAAACGUGAAAGGGGUUAGGUUUUACAGGACAGGAAGAUGGUUUUAGCCAGCGUACAGAGGUGUCAUCUUAAGUUCAUGACAAAAACAGGGCUAAUCAUAGAGUAGGCGGUGGGAUUGCCUGGAUGUGGCUGAGUGCCCAUCCUGGAUAUGCUGACUUGAGUAAGCUCUUACUCUUGCUACUUAUUUCAUUAAUGACCUUAAAUCCCACCGGCAUUCUAGUUGCCCUGGGAAGACCACUGUGAUUAUCUUUAUUGUGCUGUCCCGCUGAAAGAACCAUGCUCAGAAUGGUGCCUGAUCUUGACAGACUCCUACUAAUGUAAUUAUGCCUUACUCUGGGACACACCCCUCCAGAGUUUGGGAUUUCUCUUAUUUCUGCCUGUAAAUGACAUGAGAUGGUACCCCUGCAUGACUGCUCAGACUAACUCCCAAGGAAGAUAUGGCUUUGCCAUUAUUUGUCAGUGUGACCUGUCUUGAUCUCUUUAGAGGGCAUUUGGAGGCUGCUACAAGAAGGAGCACUGUCCCAUGAGUUGAUAGUUGUGGUGGGAACAAAGAAAGGGCCAUCCCUCAGACUUCCUGGAGCCCUGGGCAGCCUGCACAUACUGCAAAGUGCACUGGAGAUGCAGUAGCCGAUGAAAUAAGAUGGAACUUGUGUUUUGGUGAUGAGAAAUGUAUGCUUAUUUUAAAGACUUUGGGUGCUCACUAUCAGGUGGUGUUUUGGAAAGCUAAACUAGUUAUUCUCCCAUUGGCAGCAAAUAGGGGAUGCUUGCUUUCAGCCGAACCUUGCUAACUCUGAGUGAUGUUUGCUGGUCACUUCAUACAGAGAUUACGCUAACCCUCACUUUGUGUGUUUUCAGUGAUUCUGUUUGUUUUGUUUUGUUGUGACUGGGCGGCUGGAUGAAAUUUUUCAUUAUCUCCCUUUCCCAGUGCUAGGGGAUCCCUACUCUCUCUAGGGUGUUAGGGAUGCUUUAUAGAUUUCAGAUUUACUUCCAAAGUCACUUGAUGUCAUGUCUUCCUCCUUAGCCACUCAUGAUUCUGCUCUGGUUGUAUUUUGCAGGAGCUCAGCCUUGGUAAUAGUUGUUGGAGCUGGAGGUCCUGAACAGUCCUAAAGCGUCCAAAUCUCAGUUCUCAAAGAACAAGUUCUGAGUAUCACUCUAUGGACUAACCCUCUGCUCUUUAGGGAAUUACUCAUGAUGCCAUAAAAAAAAUAACAGAAUCAGAGAUAGAGGUUAGCUUUCCUCUCCAAAACUGGGAAGAAAGUGUUCAAAAUUAGGGAUUUAGGGUGCACUCAAAAAUGUCUGAUUGGUAGUGAGAGCCUGUGUGUUAGUUCCCUAUGGAUGCUGUAACACAGUACCAUGACCUGAAUGACUUAAGAUAACAGACUGGCAUUGUCUUAUAAUUCUGGAGACAGAAGUCCAAAAUCAAGGUGUCCACAGGGCCAUAUACACUGUAAAACCCAUAGGGGAAUCCUUUUAUGCCUCUUCCUACCUGCUGAGCUUUGUCUACAGUCGUUGGUAUGUAGAUGCAUAACUCCAAUCUCUGCCUUUACCACCACAUGCUUUUAUCCUUGUGUUCCUCUGUCUCCACAUGGCUAUCCCCUUAUAAGGGGACCUGUUCUAUUAUAUUUAGUUAUGAUAUGACCUCAUCUGAACUGAAGAUCUGUAGUGACUCUAUUUUCAAAUAAGGUGACAUUUGGUUUGAGGUCCUGGCAGUAAGGACUUGAGCAUAUCUUUUUUUAGAAGGAUACCAUUUAACCCAGAGUGUUGAUACUUUGAGAAUGAUACAAACCACACCCGAGAAUAGGCAACUUCCUAGGCAGUCUUUACAAGCAAGAAUGCUGACACUGUAGGGAUAAUUCCUAGGAAGAAAAGGGAAUAUUCCAUGUUAAGGGAGACAGACUUGGUAGCUCUGGAGAAAUCAUGUACCUGAAAUUAAUUCCUGACAAUCAACCAUGAAUCUGUUAUCAUUUUUUGUUCUAAACACUUGCUUCUAAUUAUGCCCCUUUGAUGUUUGCACCUUUCAAAUAUCUUGAAACUGAGUUCAUUUCCAUUUCUCACACUUUCAACAUUGUUAACACAAGCUGAACAGACUUUCGUUCUUCCAGGUCUUUUUGGUUAGUCAGAUCCUACAGAAGCUUAAUAAUUGCAAGUUGCUCUUUUCUUCAGUCUUCUUUUCAGCUGGCAGCUUUCCUAGCACUAAAAAUCACACCUUGUACCUCACAGAGCGGGAACAAAGAUGUGGCCACCUAUGUGGUUUGUGAAGGAACUUCUGACACAUUUAAUUUCAUCUGGAAGCUGGGUGUCUGUGUCAGUGACUUUGUUCAAAAUGGCUCCAGGGAAACCUGAGUUUUGUCUUUAUAGCUGCUUUUCCUUGUAUUGUACACUUUGUUUUUCCAUUUCUUUCACAAAACACAACAUGGAAAGAAGCCCACGGUUUUUGCACCUUUUAUAUAAGCUUUUUGGUGAUUAAAACCCUAGGGUGUUGAGUUAGCGUAAAUGUUAAAAAUGUGUACCUAGAGUACAGUAAGAGCUUUCUCGCUAUGCAUUUUUCAAAAGAGUAGUGAAUAAUGCUGGAUUGAAAACUCUGGGAAGCUAGGGCCCUCUGAUUAUAGCCCAUGUGGUGAUAUUGUACAUUUUCCCAAACCUUGCUGCAUUAAUGCCUUCACAUCAUUUCUGAGAAAGAGAAGAAUACUCAGCUCUCCUACAGGCCUCAGGAAUAAUGGGAGUUUAGUGAACAGUACCUAUUAAAAUAUGAAUAUAUAUUAAGCAUCUCUUUUUAUUCUGAUGCUUUGACAUCUUGAGGUCUCCCUGACACUGAAAGAGACUUACCCUCCCAAAGUCAGAUAAUUCUGAGAGCUAGCAAAUGCCUUGCCUACCACAAGUGUCUUUCAUAUGCAAACUGACCAAUCUAGAGUCUAUACCUCUGCUAUCUUUCUCUCACCCUGGCACCCAUCAUUCCUGGCCCUAAGCACCCUAGGGCUAGUUAUCUGAUAACUCAGGGUGGCCCUACAUGCUGGGUGGAGCAUGCUGAAAUUAUUCAGAUUAGCCAAUCCUAAACCUACUUAACUUGCUUACCCUACCUUGCCCAUUUCUUUGUACAGAAAACCACAAUAGAAGCUCUUCCUCAUAUUUUCCCCUUACUAUCUCUGCCUCUUGAACAAUGCUGGGGCUUCACUGUAUGGCCAUGUAUGACAUGCUGAACCUCCUGUUUCUAGGGAUCUCUGUGUAUAAAACUUCUUCCUUCCAUUGAGUAUCUCUGUGUGUUUCCAUCCCUGAUUAGAACAAACCCCAAGUACAUCUGAAAAGAGAGCAUGUAAAGAUUCAUUCAAAAUUCACUCCAAUUACUCUGAAGUGUCUUUCAUUGCUUGUAGCCAACUCAACAACCAAGUCAAGGAUGGCUUUGACUAGGCUUCCUCAAGAGGAGACAUUGCUGGGCAUUCCUAUUAUGGCUGAGUGGUAACUAACCCAACUAGUGUCCAUGAGGAUGAGGGUUUGAUCCCUGGCCUCAUUUAGUGGGUUAAGGAUCUGGUGUUGCCAUGAGCUGUGAUAUAAUUCGUAGACCCGGCUCAGAUCCCAUGUUGCUGUGGCUGUGGUAUAGGCUGUAGCUCCAAUUUGACCCUUAGCCUGGGAACCUCCAUAUGUCACAAGUGGGCCC